rnacentral:tRNA from 1 species
GGGCGCUGUGGCCCACGCUGGUGCCGCCGGGGCUGCUGCCCGCGGCGAUGACCUGCUCGUCGGUGAUGUUCGAGGCGCCGGUGCUGGCC